rnacentral:rRNA from 1 species
ACUCAAAUGAAUUGACGGGGGCCCGCACAAGCAGUGGAGCAUGUGGUUCAAUUCGAUGCAACGCGAAGAACCUUACCUGGGCUUGACAUGUAAGCUAAGGCUGGUGAAAGCCGGCGUGCCGCAAGGCGAGCUUAUACAGGUGCUGCAUGGCUGUCGUCAGCUCGUGCCGUGAGGUGUUGGGUUAAGUCCCGCAACGAGCGCAACCCUUGUCCUUAGUUGCCACCGGGUAAUGCCGAGCACUCUAAGGAGACUGCCUACGCAAGUAGUGAGGAAGGUGGGGAUGACGUCAAGUCCGCAUGGCCCUUACGCCCAGGGCCACACACGUGCUACAAUGGCCGCUACAGAGGGCUGCAGAGCCGCAAGGCGAAGCCAAUCCCAAAAAAGCGGUCUCAGUUCGGAUUGGAGUCUGAAACUCGACUCCAUGAAGCUGGAAUUGCUAGUAAUCGCGCAUCAGCACGGCGCGGUGAAUACGUUCCCGGGCCUUGCACACACCGCCCGU